rnacentral:rRNA from 1 species
CCUACGGGAGGCAGCAGUGAGGAAUAUUGGUCAAUGGACGAGAGUCUGAACCAGCCAAGUAGCGUGAAGGAUGACUGCCCUAUGGGUUGUAAACUUCUUUUAUAUGGGAAUAAAACGUUCCACGUGUGGGAUUUUGUAUGUACCAUAUGAAUAAGGAUCGGCUAACUCCGUGCCAGCAGCCGCGGUAAUACGGAGGAUCCGAGCGUUAUCCGGAUUUAUUGGGUUUAAAGGGAGCGUAGGUGGAUUGUUAAGUCAGUUGUGAAAGUUUGCGGCUCAACCGUAAAAUUGCAGUUGAAACUGGCAGUCUUGAGUACAGUAGAGGUGGGCGGAAUUCGUGGUGUAGCGGUGAAAUGCAUAGAUAUCACGAAGAACUCCGAUUGCGAAGGCAGUUCACUGGACUGCGACUGACGCUGAGGCUCGAAAGUGUGGGUAUCAAACAGGAUUAGAUACCCCUGUAGUC